CAGCAGCCGCGGUAAUACGAAGGGGGCUAGCGUUGUUCGGAAUUACUGGGCGUAAAGGGCGCGUAGGCGGCCAUUCAAGUUAGAUGUGAAAGCCCUGGGCUCAACCUAGGAAUUGCAUUUGAUACUGUUUGGCUUGAGUUCGGGAGAGGUGAGUUGAAUUCCCAGUGUAGAGGUGAAAUUCGUAGAUAUUGGGAGGAACACCAGUGGCGAAGGCGGCUCACUGGACCGACACUGACGCUGAGGCGCGAAAGCGUGGGGAGCAAACAGGAUUAGAUACCCCCGUAGUCCCUGUCUCUUAUAC
rnacentral:rRNA from 1 species